GUUCAUAAAAACACUUGGGAUCUUUGUGUGUGAGAUUCGUGUUCCGCUGGGGAGUAAGAGCUGGAUUAUCUGCCUAGGAACCAAGUCACAAGUCAGUGAUGCAGACUCCUUUGCAAUUGGUCAGCUGGAGGCCCACCAGGAGGAAGGCAUGGUGAUCUCCCACAUGGCCGUGUCCGGCGUCGGGAUCUGGAUUGCCUUCACCUCAGGGUCCACGCUCCGCCUUUUUCACACGGAAACUCUCAAGCACCUGCAGGACAUCAACAUCGCCACCCCUGUUCACAACAUGCUGCCAGGUAAGGGGACGGGACAGGGCCCAGGGAUGGGACAGCAACCGGGGACGGACGUGGGGGGUGCGGAGCGCCGUCAGCCCACCUUAGCGCUUCCCAGUGCAGGACACUGUUCACAACAUGCUGCCAGGUAAUGGGGCGGGACAGGGCCCAGGGAAAGACGUGGGAGUGCGGAGCAUGGUCAGCCUACUUUAGCGCUUCCCGGUGCAGGGCACAGAGGUCCUGAAGAAGCUGCAUGCUGGGAGGAGCCGCGUGCUGGGAUGAGCCGCGUA
rnacentral:sRNA from 1 species